AACUUUUAACGAUGGAUCUCUUGGCUCUCACACCGAUGAAGAACGCAGCAAACUGCGAUAAGCAAUGCGAAACGCAGUUGUUCGUGAGUC
rnacentral:rRNA from 1 species